CUAAUGUUUUAGUUGCUGCAGAAUUAAGGACAUUUCAACUUUUCAUACUGCUCUGCUAGUGAGGGGAGCUAAGGAGGCACAGGGAUCUGAAAGGAGAGAGAACCAUGACAACUGACCUAAACUGGCCAAAGGAACAUUCCAUACCAUAUGAAACCAUGGGAAAUAAAACUUUAAAACUGUGAGGGUUUAGUCAGGCAGAAACCUCAACUUGAGGACUCGCUGGGCACUGGUUGAUGACUGGGAACUUCAAGGUACCCAGGUAAAUAAUGCAAUCUGAACUUUCCUGUGAAGGAUGCUGCAGACCACACUGCUCAUUUUUCCAGCCAUGCUGUCUUCAUCUGAAAUGUCACUCACCAAAUACUGGAAACAAUAGAGAUGACAACUCCAGAGACAUCUCCUGUACAUAUUUGCCUGUUAUGUGCCUAUCUGCUCUACAACCGGCAUUCUGUUUUGCAUCAUCUCCAAGUUACUUCUCCCCUUCACAAAAAUACAAUAUAAAAUGAAAGAAUUAUUUAUGUUGAAAUAUAUCCUUUAGAUCAUCACGUCAGAUCACUGCCUAACAGUACCAAUUCUAUCACUAAACCAUAUCCCUAAACAACAUACCUAUAUUUCUCUUAAAUAGCUCCAGGAAUGAUGACUCCACCACUUUCCCAGACAGUCUAUUCCAGUGCCUAUCCACCCUUUAUAUGAAUAAAUUCUUCCUGAUACAUAAUCUAAACCUCCUAUUGGACAACUUGAGGCCAAUAACAUGUACCAUAAGAAAUUCUUUUCCUACUUUCCAGAAAAAAGAAUGUAUUCAAAAAGACCAGAAGUUGAAUAUUGAAUAUCAUUUGCACUUAUAUGGAAAUGAACAUGUCUCUGAAGAAUGCAAUAUACUCAUUCUUGAAUGUAAUCGUAAUAUAUGACACAUAUGAAACAUAAAUAUUUCUUUAGAGUUUUGUCGUGAAACUUUCCUGGAUUUACAAUUACAAAAUUUCUAAAAAAUAAUGACAAAUCAUAGAAAGUAAUAGACACCUAUAAACAGAAAUCAUUCUAGAACUCUUCUGUUAACUUACAGACUUUCAUAUAUGUACCUCUUGUAAUAAUACCUAAAUAUUUUUUAAGUAUCUUAAUCACUGUUUACAGUUUUCACUUUACUGGUUUGAUGUCUGUCAAAAGAAGACAACUGCACUUGGCCAGAAAUUAGUAACAAAACUGCAUGGGUUUUGAGACAAUUGUAAGUAUCCCACUGACCCAGGAUAAAAAGGUGAAGAUAUAUAUUUCCUCCUUUCAGAUGACUGAUGUUUCCAAAUAUAUUCUCUGAUCAGAAUUUAUUCAUAAGCUAAUAUCCUUUAAUUUCUUUCUAAUUACACCCACAAAAAAUGACAUAGGGGUUCUAAGUGGAUACUAGAGGGCUCUGAGACUGUAAUGCAAGCUAAAAUUAUGGAGAAAACAUAAAUCAAUAUCCUCUAUAGCAUGGAUGCAUUCCAACCACAGAGCUCCUGAGUCUGUAUCUACUAUUCAGCUGAAAUUUCUUGUCAAAGACUUUCCUCUUUGCCUAUGUUCACAGAACAAAAUAUAUUUAGUUUGCUCUAUUUUAGUAAUAGGUGAAUUUCAUCUUUUAGCAAUAUCUAUUGAAAUGAUGUUUGAUUUGAUACUGGAGCAAUUGUGUGCACAGGAAUGGGAAAAGAAUUGCAAUUCAAUGACCAUCAUCAUUGGAGUAAUAGUCUCCAAUUUCCAUAAAAUUUGGUCCAAUACACAAUGGACUAUUAUGAUAACAAUUUUUAUACUAACCAAAAAAUCACAAAGCUAUAUCUCUUCAUAAUGCUUUCACUCUUGGAUUGCUAUAGUAUACUCAGUUCUUC
ensembl:lncRNA